UUUGAGGUGAUGAUCCUUUCCCCAAAUUACCGACUAUGAUUAUACUGUGCGAUUUUACGAGGUCUUCCAGACUUCUAAGCCAGAUGUUCUGAUCAAA